UACGUAGGUGGCGAGCGUUGUCCGGAUUUAUUGGGUUUAAAGGGUGCGUAGGCGGCUUUGUAAGUCAGUGGUGAAAUAUGUCAGCUCAACUGGGAGGGUGCCAUUGAUACUGCGGAGCUUGAGUACAGAUGAGGUAGGCGGAAUUGACGGUGUAGCGGUGAAAUGCUUAGAUAUCGUCAAGAACACCUAUAGCGAAGGCAGCUCACUAGGCUGUAACUGACGCUGAGGCACGAAAGUGUGGGGAUCAAACAGG
rnacentral:rRNA from 1 species